GAUAGUUUUCCUGCUGUUUUCUUAAUAUCAUAAGACAUUCAUUAUAAUGUAGACAAGUCUGUAAUUGCAUAAAAUAUGAAUAUCAUCAUUUACAUUAUGGUAAAUCUGUUAAUCUGACCAUUGUAAAUGUGAAUGCAUGAUUUACCAAGUCUGGGCUUUUGGUAUCAUUUCUUUUUGAGGUUGGUGAGAAAAUAAUAUGAAAUGCAGUACUGUACACAGAAAUGAAGUCAGGGUAAACAAAACAGGAUGUGUGACAUGGCUAACAUUUUCAUGAAAAUGGAAAUGUGCAGGUACACUGGAGAGUUUGCUGGAUUAAUGGUCUACUGUAAUGUAGAUUAAUUUCUCUCUUUAAUAAGAGUAAUUGUCUUUUAAUAUUUUAUCAGUUUUUAAUAAUUAAAACUAUUUUCAGGUGGUUAUCAAAAUCAAGGUUGGGCAAACCAAGCUUAUGGUUAUAAUCAAGGAUACGGAAACUAUAAUCAAGGAGGAUAUGGUGGCUACGGUAAUUAUAAUUACGAUUAUAAUUAUGGGACUAGCUACAGUGGGUACAACGGUGGAUACGACUAUGGCGGAUGGAAUUACGGGCAGGGAGGUUACGGAGGAGGAUACGGAAAUCUUUGUGACAGAAGGUAAGAUUAUUUUAUACGCCGGCGAAAUUCGAUCGAAGGGAGUAUAGUACAAAGUUUGGAAGGAUGUCCCGUUCUCAACAAGCAUUGUACAUUUGCUUUCCCUUACCCAUACCAAAGACAUCAGUAUUUUGAUGCUUGGCAAAGCUGUGCCAGAGAAAGCUAUUUAUAUAUUGUUGUCUAAAUGUUAACAACAGAAUAUUCUGCUGCAAAAAUUUGUUGGUUGAACUGUAAUGCACUUUUCCAAACUGUUGGUAAUAGAAAUAAGGCAAGUGACCACAGGAUCACAUUCCAAUGCUGCUUGAAACUGAUGUAGAAAACUUGACAAAUACUACAAUCGGUACAGGCCUAUCUGUUGGUAAUUUCAUUCCAGCAUUUUAGGUUUUUAUCAAGUGCAAUUUUUGUUGUUGUUGGAAUCUUCCUAUUGUGCCAUAUGUACUAUGGAAAAUGUCAACGUCUACCUGAUUUAGAAACAAAAUUGUGUAGUUUGGGUUGGUGUAGCUAUUCGAAUUUAAUGUGAAAAUUUUUUAACCAUUUAGCGGUACACGAAUUUGUUCGCAGUAUAUCCAAAACUCGUUACCUUUGUGACUCCUAGUUAUGCUUCCAGACGACAGUCAGACUCAGAAAAUGGCAAGUUUUCCUAAACGGUUUACCUGUUGUAUAUUAUGUAAAAUUAGAAAAAUUGUCAAAGAGUUUGUGAACAACAACUUUUUAUAGUAAUGUAUGAUGCCUGGGAGAAUUGUUUUGUCAUGUUGAUGUUGAAAAUAAAAUUUAGUUUGAUUAUAAGAUGUUUGUGUUUCUUUGUGUGUGUAUGUGUGUCUGUGUGCACGUGUGAGUUAGAUCUUGUAUUUCAUUAAUUCCGACACCAUCAUUUUUAAUAUCGUCACAAAUUCUUAUUUGUAACACGGAACCAAAAUGAUAUGGCCAAUUGGGGGAAAGAAAACCGUAAUGCGCCUCGAUAACAGAUUAUUGUAAUUGGGAAUACAAAAAACAUUCGGAUAGAUUUUUGCUACAUCUCUCUAUAUUGCAGGUGAUCGACAACAGAAAAAUGACAAGACAAGACAAGCAUCUUUGGUCGGACAAGUCCCUCGUCCCUGCGUCUGCUGACCGCAGUCGAUCUCACGGACAAGUUUCAUACGAAUCUGUUUUUUGUUGCCUCGUGGUCCCUCGUCGUCAGUUUGUUGUUCACACAGGCCCCGUUGUACAUAAUGGCAACUAUGACAUUUUAGCAAUAAAUCUUUUGUUGACGCCUUAAGUUGUAUUUAACCGAACAUUGAAUCGUGCAGGGUUUCUAAAUCCGCUUUUCUUUGUUUAAUUCUCUCCUGGUAAAAAGAGGGAAAUAUAUGUUUUAUCUCUAUUUUUAACUCUCAUUUUUAUUCAUUUACCUGUUGUUUUCUGUACUCUUCAUAAUCGGGAUCAUCUGUAGGUAGUUCGUCUCUACACACCGGACACGUGUUGGUCUGAAAAUUAAGUUGGUCAUUGAAAAUCUUAUAUUUUUAUGUAAAUUACAGUAAAAUAUGCCUUUAUGAACUGCUUUUAAUUUCAUUAAGAUUAUACAGACUAGAAAAAGAUAAUUUUUGGCAAUCAUGAUUUAUGUAUUUUUGGAAAAUAUCAGAUGUUUGAUUUAUGCACUUUAAUUUUCUAAGUAAUUUUUUGUUUCUUAUAAUAUACGUAGCCUUUUCUAAAGAACUGGUUACAUGGAAAUUUAUUAUUUUCUGACAUUGCACUGCUCUGUGAAAAUUAUUUUUAGUAAAAACAGAAUCAAAAGGCAGAUUUCACUGUAUAUAUGAAAGAAUGUAAAAUAUACAAUAUUGAGCCAAGGUGAUAUGCAGGAUGCGUGGAAUAAAUGUUGACAAGGUAACUGCUUUCCUAUGUCACCUUCUUCAAACUCCUUCAUGCACACGGGGCAUUGUCUGUCUACUUAGGAGCAAAAUAUAUUAAUUAGAAACAAACCGUAAUUAACAUGCGAAAAUUCAAUAGAAAUAACACGUAAAAACAAAAAUGGUAAAUGAAUAAUGUUAUGAACUUUGUAUAAUUUGAAUAAUAAGUGUAACUGUAAUUGAUAUUUACUAGAAUAGUCUAAGAAUGAUCUUUUAGUUGACAUUUUCCUGGUGCUCAUUAUGGCAAAAACUUGAUUUUCAAAAAUUAAAUUUAAAAACAAUCUAAAAUUUUAAGAAAUUUGGAAGAUGAAUAUAUCUAUGGAAUGUAAUUAAAAAUAAUGGUAAGUGCCUGUGAAAAUAAAUGGUUACAAUGCAACGUAAAUAAAUUCACUUUCGCCGCAUAACCGACUGCCAUUCUGUGCUAAAAUACAAAAGAAAAUAGUGUACGUGAUAGACGAAGAAUGAGAAGAUUUUAGAAUACUGAAUUAAGAUAAUUACUAAUUUAGUACGAAUGCGUGCGUGGAUGCGGGUAUAAUGUAACAAAGUUCAGAAUCCUCAUGUUGAAAAAUGUCCAACUGUUUUGUAAAAAAAAAUUGUAAUAAAGUUAUAAUUGAUGUUAUCAGAGUUUAAA